UACGUAGGGUGCGAGCGUUGUCCGGAAUUACUGGGCGUAAAGAGCUCGUAGGUGGUUUGUCGCGUUGUUCGUGAAAACCGGGGGCUUAACCCUCGGCGUGCGGGCGAUACGGGGCAGACUUGAGUACUGCAGGGGAGACUGGAAUUCCUGGUGUAGCGGUGGAAUGCGCAGAUAUCAGGAGGAACACCGGUGGCGAAGGCGGGUCUCUGGGCAGUAACUGACGCUGAGGAGCGAAAGCGUGGGGAGCGAACAGG
rnacentral:rRNA from 1 species